GCGCCGCUCCGCUCCGCGCUGCCCCGCCCGGCGCUGCCGCCCGCCCGUCGGUCCGCCCGCCGCCCCGUCCGUCCGUCCGUCCGUCCGUCCGUCCGCGGGCUGCGCCGUGGGGCGGGGCGGGCGGGGAGCGGCGCUACGCGGCGCUGCGCGGCCCCCGCCGCGGCUCCACACCCCGCUAUAAGAGGAGCGGCCGCGGCCGCGCUCCGCAGUGCAUGGCAGCGCCUCGCCCGGUGCGGCGCGGCUGGGACCCUCCCCCGGGCCGGUCCCGGGCGUCCCCCGCCUCGCGUCGCCCCCUCCCCGCCGCCGACACCCUUGACCUUGCCAUCCGGCCGCUCGGCAGGGAGCGCAGCGGCGGCCACGGAGGCAGCCGUGCUGGGUCGCGGAGCUGCCUGGGGAUGCGUUAGCUGGCGGAUCGCACCGAAAUAUUUUUCCUAGGAAAGGGAGAGGCAGCCUCCUCCCGCUGACGGGGGAGUGGAAGAAAAAGGAUUUAAAGAGCAUCUUUGCCCCCUUUGUUGAAUGAGGAGGACGGAGGAGGACCGGCAAGAUGAGCACUAGCAUUCCCUAUCAGCAAAACCCCUACACCCCUGGAAGCAGCUCCACUGUCAUCCAGUGCUACCGCUGUGGGGACACCUGCAAGGGCGAGGUGGUGCGUGUCCAGAGCAAUCACUUCCACAUCCGCUGCUUCACCUGCCAAGUGUGCGGCUGUGACCUGGCCCAGUCGGGCUUCUUCUUUAAGAACCAGGAGUACAUCUGCACCCAUGACUACCAGCAACUCUAUGGGACCCGCUGUGACAGCUGUGGGGACUUCAUCACCGGAGAAGUCAUCUCUGCCCUAGGGAGGACCUACCACCCCAAGUGUUUUGUCUGCAGCACCUGCAGGAAGCCGUUCCCCAUCGGAGACAAGGUCACGUUCAGUGGGAAGGACUGCGUCUGCCAAAACUGCUCCCACUCUCUCAUCAGCACCAAACCCAUCAAGAUCCAUGGGCCCAGCCACUGCGCCGGCUGCAAGGAAGAGAUCAAGCAAGGCCAGUCCCUUCUGGCCCUGGAGAAGCAGUGGCAUGUCAGCUGCUUCAAGUGCCAAACAUGCGGGAUCAUCCUCACUGGCGAGUACAUCAGCAAGGAUGGCAUCCCGUACUGCGAGUCUGACUACCAUGCCCAGUUCGGCAUCAAGUGUGAGACCUGCAACCGGUACAUCAGCGGCAGGGUCCUGGAGGCAGGAGGGAAACACUACCACCCCACCUGUGCCAGAUGUGUCCGCUGCCACCAGAUGUUCACAGAAGGAGAGGAGAUGUACCUCACAGGCUCCGAAGUGUGGCACCCCAUCUGCAAGCAGGCAGCCAGGGCAGAGAAGAAACUAAAGCACAGGAGGACGUCAGAAACCUCCAUCUCGCCCCCCGGUUCCAGCAUCGGCUCCCCAAACCGUGUCAUCUGCGCUAAAGUGGAUAAUGAGAUCCUUAAUUACAAAGACCUGGCAGCUCUUCCCAAGAUUAAAGCCAUCUAUGAAGUGCAGCGUCCUGACCUCAUUUCCUACGAGCCCUAUCACAGAUACACGUCGGAUGAGACACUGGAGAGAUAUAGCUAUGGGGAGUCCCUGGGGACCCUCUCCCCGUACUCACAGGACAUCUACGAGAGCUUUGACAUGCGGCAGAGGCGAGCCUCCAGCCCUGGCUACAUCGACUCCCCCACCUACAGCCGCCAGGGCAUGUCCCCCACCAUCCCGAGGUCCCCCCAUCAUUUCUACCGCUCAGGCACGGAGAGCGGGCGCAGCUCCCCGUACUAUAGCCAGUUAGAUGUGAGGUCCUCCACUCCAACCUCAUACCAAGCACCCAAGCAUUUCCACAUCCCAGCUGCUGGCGAGAGUAACAUCUACCGGAAACCCCCCAUCUAUAAGCGACACGACAACCCCCCUGCAGCCACGAAAAGCAAAACCAGCGAAGACAUCGCACAGUCAUCCAAGUACAGCCCUGCCUAUUCCCCAGACUUGUACUACCACUCCGAGUCAGAGUACUGGUCCUUCCAAGGCUCCCCCAAAGCCCCCCGCGCCCGGAGGUUCUCAUCAGGAGGCGAGGAGGAUGGGUAUGACCGGAGCAUGCACAAGAUCCAGAGUGGCAUCGGCAGGCUGAUCCUGAGGGAGGAGAUGAAGGCUCGGUCCAGCUCCUACGCAGACCCCUGGACACCCCCUCGCAGCUCAGCCAGCAGCAGAGAAGCCCUGCACACGGCUGGCUAUGAGGGCUCCCUCAACGGCUCUCCUCGGACGCACUACCUGGCUGACAGCGGUGAGUGUGUGAGCCUGCAGCCCUCCACGGCUGGUCUCCUGUGGCUGUGGGGUCCAAGAACCUGAGCUGGAGGAGAUGCUGGGACCAGGAAGGGAAAAAAGGGAGAGAAAAAGGAGCUGAAAGGAUGGGACAGGGUAGAGCUGAACCAGGGCAGAGCUGGUGGCAGUGCCAGGAAAGGGCAAGACGGAGAAACUGAAAGAGGAGACUGUUGCACUGAAGGGUGAGGUGGGAUGGCUGCCAUGGGAAAGGGAUUUUGGGAAGAGGAAUAUCAGCAUGGAGGAAGCCAGGCUGGAAAUGAGUUGGAGCGGAAGGAGACAGAGCUGGGUGAAUGUGGAGUUGGGUAGCGAUGUGGGAGCACAGGGUAGGGUGACCCAGUGGGUGCUCUUCCAGGGGUGUGGGGCUCACCCCUGCAUUUUCCCUUAUGCACUUUGGUGGCUUUUUUGCAGAUCCCCUUUAUUUCUAAGUCAGCCUCCCUCCCUGCCUACAGGAGGAACGGGCUGCACAGGCCUCCCAGUGCCGAGCUUUUCCACUAUGACAGCACGAACGCCGUCAACUGGGGGAUGCGAGAGUACAAGGUAAGAUGCUUCUGCUCCAA